GAUGAACGCUGGCGGCGUGCCUAAUACAUGCAAGUCGAACGAAACUUCUUUAUCACCGAGUGCUUGCACUGACCGAAACAGGGUUGAGUGGCGAACGGGUGAGUAACACGUGGGCAAGCUGCCCAAAAGAGGGGGAUAACACUUGGAAACAGGUGCUAAUGCCGCAUAACCAUAGUUACCACAUGGUAACUAUGUGGAAGGGGGCUAUACUACCUCUGUUGGAUGGUGCCGCGGCGCAUUAGCAAGGUUGUAGGGUAAAGGCUUUCUAAGUGAGUGAUGGGCUGCCGAAGUGUGAGGUGGAUCGGCCACAUUGGAGCGUAGCCACGGCCCAUACUCCUGCGGGACGCAGCAGUAGGCAAUCUUCCACAACGGGCGAAAGCCUUAUGGAGCAACGCCGCGUGGGUGAAGAAGGUCUUCGGAUCGUAAAACCCUGUUGUUAGUGAAGAAAGUGCGUGAGAGUAACUGUUCACGUUUCGACGGUAUCUAACCAGAAAGCCCCGGCUAACUACGUG
rnacentral:rRNA from 1 species